GAUGAACGCUGGCGGCGUGCUUAACACAUGCAAGUCGAACGAAGCACUUUAUUUGAUUUCCUUCGGGACUGAUUAUUUUGUGACUGAGUGGCGGACGGGUGAGUAACGCGUGGGUAACCUGCCUUGUACAGGGGGAUAACAGUUGGAAACGGCUGCUAAUACCGCAUAAGCGCACGGCAUCGCAUGAUGCAGUGUGAAAAACUCUGGUGGUAUAAGAUGGACCCGCGUUGGAUUAGCUAGUUGGUGGGGUAACGGCCCACCAAGGCGACGAUCCAUAGCCGACCUGAGAGGGUGACCGGCCACAUUGGGACUGAGACACGGCCCAAACUCCUACGGGAGGCAGCAGUGGGGAAUAUUGCACAAUGGGCGAAAGCCUGAUGCAGCGACGCCGCGUGAGCGAAGAAGUAUUUCGGUAUGUAAAGCUCUAUCAGCAGGGAAGAUAAUGACGGU
rnacentral:rRNA from 1 species